rnacentral:rRNA from 1 species
GACAGAGGGUGCAAACGUUGUUCGGAAUUACUGGGCGUAAAGCGCGCGUAGGCGGCCCCGUAAGUCCGCUGUGAAAGUCAAAGGCUCAACCUUUGAAAGCCGGUGGAUACUGUGGGGCUAGAGUCCGGAAGAGGCGAGUGGAAUUCCUGGUGUAGCGGUGGAAUGCGCAGAUAUCAGGAAGAACACCGGUGGCGAAGGCGGGACUCUGGGCCGAUACUGACGCUGAGGAGCGAAAGCGUGGGGAGCAAACAGG